GGCCGUUUUAUGUGUGGAUUUAUUGGCGGAAUAGAGGAGCUUGUGCAUUUCAGGCCCACCCCCACUCCCCGUGUCAUUGAUGAUGUCUCCUGGGUGUUCGACCACGGGGCAGGGGUUUCCAGUACCUGGUUGACUGGGAGGGUUAUGGCCCAGAGGAGAGGUGCUGGGUUCCUGCUAGAGACAUCCUGGAUCCAGCCCUCAUCGCCGACUUCCACCGCUGACACUCCGGUCAACCAGGUUGCAUAGAAUGUCUGUUUAAGCAGGGAACUUGGCUUGCCAAGAGAGGGAGAGGAGAGAGAGAGGGCUACGGGGAGAUGAGUGACCUGCUUUUCAACAGUUCCUCGUCGUGUAUGAGCUGAGCCAAGAGCUUAGUGCCACAUUGAUAGGAGAACCUGAGCCCUAGGACCAUACGUCAGGACUACCGGGCA